CAGUAGCCGCGGGAAUACGUAGGUGGCAAGCGUUAUCCGGAAUUAUUGGGCGUAAAGGGCUCGCAGGCGGUUUCUUAAGUCUGAUGUGAAAGCCCCCGGCUCAACCGGGGAGGGUCAUUGGAAACUGGGAAACUUGAGUGCAGAAGAGGAGAGUGGAAUUCCACGUGUAGCGGUGAAAUGCGUAGAGAUGUGGAGGAACACCAGUGGCGAAGGCGACUCUCUGGUCUGUAACUGACGCUGAGGAGCGAAAGCGUGGGGAGCGAACAGGAUUAGAUACCCCGGUAGUCCCUGUCUCUUAUAC
rnacentral:rRNA from 1 species